AUUGAACGCUGGCGGCAUGCUUUACACAUGCAAGUCGAACGGUAACAGGCCUUCGGGUGCUGACGAGUGGCGAACGGGUGAGUAAUGUAUCGGAACGUGCCCAGAGGUGGGGGAUAACGCAGCGAAAGCUGUGCUAAUACCGCAUGUGAUCUGAGGAUGAAAGCGGGGGACCAGGCAGCAAUGUUUGGCCUCGCGCCUUUGGAGCGGCCGAUGUCAGAUUAGGUAGUUGGUGGGGUAAAGGCCUACCAAGCCGACGAUCUGUAGCUGGUCUGAGAGGACGACCAGCCACACUGGGACUGAGACACGGCCCAGACUCCUACGGGAGGCAGCAGUGGGGAAUUUUGGACAAUGGGCGCAAGCCUGAUCCAGCAAUGCCGCGUGCGGGAAGAAGGCCUUCGGGUUGUAAACCGCUUUUGUACGGAACGAAAAGGCUCUGGCUAAUACCUGGGGCUGAUGACGGUACCGUAAGAAUAAGCACCGGCUAACUACGUG
rnacentral:rRNA from 1 species